ACCAAACUUCCCCCAAUUCGUUCUUCUUCUUCCUCAAUCCCUGACUCCCAUUGCCUCCGCCGUUUCCCUUCCAUUUCCCCCGAUUCACGGGCAGGUCUUGCUAGGAGGCCGCACCAAAAAAACAGAUGGAGCCGGCCACCAUCUCCCCAGCAACAACCAUCCUUUCCUCCGCAUCCUGCAACCAUCCCGACGGCGCGACAACGGCGUCGUCCCCAGUGGCGGCAACCGGUCGUCCUCAAGGAUGGAGCCAUCUGACGCCGCGACAACGCCCUCGUCCCUGGUGGGAGCAACGCCUCUGAAGGCCGACCUAGGACCUGGGGCAGCGGUGCCGUCGAUGCGGGUGGUGCUUGGGUCGUUGUAGAGCGCAAGCGACUCAUGCCGCGGAGGCGACACUGAGCCAGCACCGAGCCCAUGCCGUCGGGCCGAGGGGUUCGCGUUCGUCGCCUAUACCACGGGCAUAUAUCUUGUUCACGCACAAGAAACGACGGUUCCAUGUGUAGAUUGACUGCUCAUGAGCAUGGAUCCAGGCGAUAUGGUGGUGAAGAUGCCGGCACCCUUCGAUGACGUCGGAGGGGGCGACUAGAUCUACCUCCAGAAAGGCAUCUGAAUGACCCCCGGUUGUUGUCCGUCGAGCGAUGGGCAGCGUGAGAGGGGUGGUGGGGUGCAAGCUUGGGAAGUAGCAUAGAGUGUUCUCUGCCGAAGAAUCUUUGGGACAUUUCUCUCGUUUUGCUCCUGUACAUGUGUACUGUCCGGAAAUGUUUGUAAUUUUA